GAAUGGCUCGUUGGGACACCGACGCGAGGAGGGGGUGGUUUCGGCCGGGGUCGAUGGGAGCUCCACCCCUGUUUGAGGCCGUGGGGGAAGGGGAUGGGGUUGGGGCGGCGGUGGGUGUAACGGUGGUGGGAGAGGGUUUUGGGUGAGGCCGGAUGGAGAAGCGGUGCAUGAGGAGGACGACGUCGGUCGCGGCGGCGUCGUUCGCGGGGGCAGGAGCGAAGGCGGCGGCGGUGCGGCGACGAUGCGUCGUCGGGGGCGGCACGGUGGAGGGGGGAAUGCAAUCUGAGUGCGGUGGAGGGGCGAGGGUGAUGUGGCGUCUGCGGGCGAAGGGCGAGGCGCCGUCUGCGCGUGUGGAGGUGAGGGCGGCUCAAGCUGAUCUCAGUCGUUCUAUGAAUGCAGAUGAUUCUGUUUUUGUACGAUUUAUCCAACGAGUAAACGCGUAAAUUGAGUUAAUACAAGACCUGAUCUAAUGAAGAGUAAAACCACACGAGUGAGGCACCACAUUAGGCAUGACCUUAAAA
rnacentral:lncRNA from 1 species